AGGACUCUUGUUUAGGUAGUUGUUUUAAACCCAAUAAAACUCCAAUGAAUCCUAAUCAUAUUAGGACCAGAUUAGAUCCAAAUAGAUGAAAAAUCAAAUCUGCUUUGGAGUCCAAACUAUUUAGAUUAGAUGUCACCUAAUUGGGAAAAGAGUCCUAGUCCUUUUGGACUCUUGCUUGGUGCUUGAGUCAAACUCAAUUUUAUCCUAAUCCAAUUAGGAUUU
rnacentral:lncRNA from 1 species